rfam:Ovis aries breed Texel chromosome 1, whole genome shotgun sequence.
CCUGGUGGCUCAGACGGUAAAGCGUCUGCCUGCAAUGCGGGAGACCUGGGUUCGAUCCCUGGGUCAGGA